rnacentral:rRNA from 1 species
AGUCUCAGUUCGGAUCGCAGGCUGCAACUCGCCUGCGCGAAGUUGGAAUUGCUAGUAAUCGCGGAUCAGCAUGCCGCGGUGAAUACGUUCCCGGGCCUUGUACACACCGCCCGUCACACCAUGGGAGUUGGGGGCGCCCGAAGCCACUUAGCUAACCCUUUUGGGAAGCGAGUGUCGAAGGUGAAAUCAAUAACUGGGGUGAAGUCGUAACAAGGUAGC